GACAGAGGUGCCGAGCGUUAGGCGGAAUCACUGGGCUUAAAGCGUGUGUAGGCGGGUGCCUAAGUACCUUGUGAAAUCCCGACGGCUCAACCGUGGAACUGCUCGGUAUACGUGGGUGCCUUGAGCCAACUAGGGGCGACCGGAACAAACGGUGGAGCGGAUGAAAUGCGUAGAGAUCAGGAGGAACACCCGUGGCGAAGGCGGCCCUCUGGCUCGACCCUGACGCUGAGGCGCGAAAGCGUGGGGAGCGAACGGG
rnacentral:rRNA from 1 species